AGUGAACGCUGGCGGCAGGCCUAACACAUGCAAGUCGAACGGCAGCACAGGAGAGCUUGCUCUCUGGGUGGCGAGUGGCGGACGGGUGAGGAAUACAUCGGAAUCUACCUUUUCGUGGGGGAUAACGUAGGGAAACUUACGCUAAUACCGCAUACGAUCUACGGGUGAAAGUGGGGGACCGCAAGGCCUCACGCCAGUAGCUGCGCCGGGGUCCGAUUAGCUAGUUGGCGGGGUAAUGGCCCACCAAGGCGACGAUCGGUAGGCUGGUCUGAGAGGAUGAUCAGCCACACUGGAACUGAGACACGGUCCAGACUCCUACGGGAGGCAGCAGUGGGGAAUAUUUGACAAUGGGCGCAAGCCUGAUCCAGCCAUACCGCGUGGGUGAAGAAGGCCUUCGGGUUGUAAAGCCCUUUUGUUGGGAAAGAAAUCCUGUCGAUUAAUACUCGGUGGGGAUGACGGUACCCAAAGAAUAAGCACCGGCUAACUUCGUGCCAGCAGCCGCAGUAACAC
rnacentral:rRNA from 1 species